rnacentral:pre_miRNA from 1 species
AGCUUUUAAAAUCCAUGCAGAGAUUUUAUCAGACACCAAUCCAAUCGGGCUGAUCAGACUCUCAAGGUAGAUGAAAUU